rnacentral:tRNA from 1 species
CAAAUUAGAGCUUGCGAUAAGUAUUCCAUUUACAUUGGAAAGAUAUUAUAGAAUAUAAUUAAUUUGA